CGGCAAGGAGGGAGCAGCAGCAGCGGCGGCGGCGGCGGCGGCGGCGGCGGAGGCGCCCGGUCCCGGCCGCGCGGAGCGGACAUGUGCAGGCUGGGCUAGGAGCCGCCGCCUCCCCCCCCGCCCCGCGAUGUAUUCAGCGCCCUCCGCCUGCACUUGCCUGUAAGCACCCGCCCGGGUCUGGCCACCCUGCCUGGAUGCCUGUCCCUGUGUUUACACUUUCUACUGCUGUGCUUCCAGGUUCAGGUGUUGGCAGCCGAGGAGAAUGUGGACUUCCGCAUCCACGUGGAGAACCAGACGCGGGCUCGAGAUGAUGUGAGUCGGAAGCAGCUGCGCUUGUACCAGCUCUAUAGCAGGACCAGUGGGAAGCACAUUCAAGUCCUGGGCCGUAGGAUCAGUGCCCGUGGCGAGGACGGGGACAAGUAUGCCCAGCUCCUAGUGGAGACAGAUACCUUCGGGAGUCAAGUCCGGAUCAAGGGCAAGGAGACAGAAUUCUACCUGUGUAUGAACCGAAAAGGCAAGCUCGUGGGGAAGCCUGAUGGUACUAGCAAGGAGUGCGUGUUCAUUGAGAAGGUUCUGGAAAACAACUACACGGCCCUGAUGUCUGCCAAGUACUCUGGUUGGUAUGUGGGCUUCACCAAGAAGGGGCGGCCUCGCAAGGGUCCCAAGACCCGCGAGAACCAGCAAGAUGUACACUUCAUGAAGCGUUACCCCAAGGGACAGGCCGAGCUGCAGAAGCCCUUCAAAUACACCACAGUCACCAAGCGAUCCCGGCGGAUCCGCCCCACUCACCCCGGCUAGGUCCGGCCACACUCACCCCCCCAGAGAACUACAUCAGAGGAAUAUUUUUACAUGAAAAAUAAGGAAGAAUCUCUAUUUUUGUACAUUGUGUUUAAAAGAAGACAAAAACUGAACCUAAAGUCUUGGGAGGAGGGGCGAUAGGAUUCCACUGUUGACCUGAACCCCAUGACAAAGGACUCACACAAGGGGACCGCUGUCAACCCACAGGUGCUUGCCUCUCUCUAGGAGGUGACAAUUCAAAACUCAUCCCCAGAGGAGGACUUGAACGAGGAAACUGCGAGAAACCAAAGUCCUUUCCCCCCAAAGGUUCUGAAAGCAAACAAAACAAAAACAAAAAAACAAAAAAACAACAAAAAAAGGAAAGUAGUGCCCCACCCCCACCCCUCUCCCUGCCCUAGACUCCAACAAGAAUCGCUCUCUGGUUUGCAGUCAUUUAUUUAUUGUCCACUGCAAGCUGUCCCGCGACACCGCGCAGGGAAGGCGCCCUUGAGAAUUCUCCGCGCCUCGACCUUCCGACGACAGACGCCUUGUCCAAUCAUGGUGGCCUGCCUUGCCCGCAGUUCUGGAGGAUGCUGCUGUGGACCUUCCGUGACUCACGUGACCUAGUACACCAAUGAUAAGGGAAUAUUUUAAAACCAGCUAUAUUAUAUAUAUUAUAUAUAUAAGCUAUUUAUUUCACCUCUCUGUAUAUUGCAGUCUCAUGAACCAAGUAUUACUGCCUCAACAAUUAAGAACAACCCACAAAUUAUUUAAAAAAACAAAACAAAACAAAAAACAACAACAACAAAAAAAAAA